CUGGAAGGCACAGGAACCCAUGUCUUAUGUCAACAAUACUUCUCUGCUGAAACACUAAUUGGCCAGAGUCAAUGGGAUUGGCUGGGGCUGUUCCUGACUGUUUUGCUGAAAAGGCACCAAAGACAGAAAGGCAUUCUCUCAUGGGGCCAAAUCAGUGGCACCAUUCCAUGAUCUGGCAGCUGGAGCAGCAGGAGGGGAGGGGCCAAGUGGAUGCCAGGAACCUGAUAGCCAAUGGAAAGGAAAGAUAAGGAGGACAGUUGGAACCGCAUGGGUGACAGAAGGUGACCUGGAGGGAAGGUGAGUAGGACAGAUGGUGGAGGUGGCAGACAGUGGGGUGAGAGGGGAGCUCCACAUCCAACCCUUCCCUGGCUGAUCACAUGUGGUCACUCCAAUCCAUUAGGGAGGGCGAACACUGUCUUGUGUUGAUUGUACAAGGAAUGGAGCUCAGUGUAUGAUGAUUCUCCUCUAUCGUACUUAUAGCAAAGACACCAGCAAUUUGCUAGUGGAUGUGAGGAUCUUACUCAACCCCGAACUGCACAAACAUGAUAAGAACACAGCAGAUACCUGCUGCUUAGGAGGGUGUCCAGAGGACUUUGGCAUCAUAGUCUGAGCUGAUGUUUAGCCAGGACACACACCAUAAAGGCCAUACUGAUUGUGUAUGGUCAUUGCCCAAAA
rnacentral:lncRNA from 10 species